rnacentral:rRNA from 1 species
GACGAACGCUGGCGGCGGGCUUAACACAUGCAAGUCGAACGGAAAGGCCCUGCUUUUGUGGGGUGCUCGAGGGGCGAACGGGUGAGUAACACGUGAGUAACCUGCCCUUGACUUUGGGAUAACUUCAGGAAACUGGGGCUAAUACCGGAUAGGAGCUCCGGCUGCAUGGUGGGGGUUGGAAAGUUUCGGCGGUUGGGGAUGGACUCGCGGCUUAUCAGCUUGUGGGUGGGGUAGUGGCUUACCAAGGCUUUGACGGGUAGCCGGCCUGAGAGGGUGACCGGCCACAUUGGGCCUGGACUGCGGCCCAGCCUCCUAGGGGAGGCAGCAGUGGGGAAUAUUGCACAAUGGGCGGAAGCCAGAUGCAGCCACGCCGCGUGCGGGAUGACGGCCUUCGGGUUGUAAGCCGCUUUCGUCUGUGCCGAAGCGUGAGUGACGGUAAUGGGUAAAGAAGCACCGGCUAACUACGUG